rnacentral:tRNA from 1 species
GGGGGCGCAGUCUUUGAGAUAGUGGGUUGUAGCCCCGAAGAAAAAGGUUUUAGUCCUUUUGCCCCUA